AUGAAGCUUAUUAUCUAAGUGAUGAGAGAUUGCAGAGCUUUGAGAUUCAGAGGGAUCUGAAUAACCUCGUGCAUGAAUGAGUGGGCUGGCAGGUGACAUUCAUCAAAUUGUGGUAUGUACAGUCAAAGGUACUUGAGUCAUUGGCAUGAUAAAGUAAUAUACCUGCACAGUAGCCCCUCAGUUCUGAUGUGAACAACCUGUUACUCCUGGAUGUUGCUGCCAUCAGGACUUUGCUGCUGUGUGGACACG